AUAUAUAUUCAAAACAUCUUAUCUUAUUAUAUAAAAUAUGGUUUUCAAAGUUACUAAUUCAUAGGAUCGUGUCACGUGUCAAGUCAAACGAUCAAAUGUUUCUUAUUAUAUAAAGUAUGGUUUUCAAAGUUACUAUUCAUAGGACCGUGCCACGUGUCAAGUCAAACGAUCAAAUGUUUACAUAUGUCACUAAAAAUUUAAAUUUUUUAUUCUCUUAAAAAAAUAGAAAAUCUAAAAAAGUAAACAAAUUUACAUAUACUAAUUUAUAUGUCUCGAUAUAUAUAUAAAUUUUACUUUUAUUCAACAAAAGGAAAAUUAACAAAUUUGUUUUUACAUGUGUUAUUGGUCAUUUAAAUGUAGCACAUAUUAAU
rnacentral:sRNA from 1 species